UGCCUUGUGCCUGGCUGUCUGCCUCUCU
rnacentral:piRNA from 1 species